rnacentral:lncRNA from 1 species
AAAAGUUAUAUGUACUUUGAAGUUUUACAAAAUUGAGUUCAUGUUAUAGAAUUAAUUCAUGAUGAACUUUUAUGUGCUAGGCACUAGUCUUUUUAUUUAUUUAUUUUUACUUCUUUUCCCCCUCUGUGCCAAGUCUUUUUAUUUUUUACUUUUUAUUAACUAUUUCAAUCCUCUUAAUAACUUAAAAAUAGGGUAUUAUUAGUAUCAGCAUUUUGUGGAUGAGGCAACUGAAGGUAGGUAACUUGUCCAAGGUCACAGGUGGCAGAUCAAGGAUUGGAGCCAGACAGCCUGACUGCCCUAGGCCCAACCAAGAGGAGCUGAGAGCAAGCCAUGGGGCAGAAGGAUGUUGGUCAGGCUGGUUUUCUGUUCAGUUAACAUGAAACGCAGGCUGUAAUGUUAAUUCUAGGACAUUACUGAGAAAGCUUUCCAAAGCCAGAGGUGUUUUUUUUUUUGUUUUUUGUUUUUUUUUUUUUUUCACCAUGACCAAGACUUUUUAGCAAAAGUUUGAUUUUGUUUAAAGGCAACAUGGUGUUCUAAGAAGCUUCCACUCACACUCUUGUGGAGGGAAUGGUAGUUGAACUAAAUAGUGAAAUGCUGUAGCACACAGCCUUUAGGGCAGCUUCUGACCUAUUUCUAUGGUCAGGAGAGACACCUAUCUUUCCCUGCUGCCCACAGCCUCCAGCUAUUCACCUUCAGAAUUUCCCAGUCUGUGAUCACAUUCCGAUGAGAGAUCUGCUUCGUUUUUUCCAGGGUAGCAGGAAGUGAGUCACCACCUGUACUAAACAGUCUAGUCUUCUGUGUAUAAAUGAGUAAGGUUGGGGAGCCAAAUUUGAGAACCUUGUGUAAUCCUGAGAUUCUCCAGGAGAAUCCAAGAGCAUGUCAGGAUUAUGCAUGGUGGUAAAGUGGUCUCAUGUUAGUUGUAUCCACAGCUCUCGUCAGAAGCAGACACAGAUACUUUUUGCAAGAAGACAUCUCUAACUUAAGCCUGUAGGAUUCCCAAAGAUUAAAAGCAGGCAAUUAUGAAUUCAGUCAAAUCAUAGCAUUCAAAUAGUCAACCCAAUGUAUUUGAGAAUUGUCAGAAACAAUGAAUAAUAUGUUUCCCAAAGACUGUAGGUUUGGAAUUAUCAGAUACAGAACACAGACUUCAAAUAUUAGAAUUGUGAGAAAAUAGUUACAUGUGAAAUCUAAUACAAAAAAAAGAUGAAGUCAUAAAAUUGAGCAAGCAGUAAGACCACCAAAAACGAUGAGGGGUACCUGAAAAGAAAAUGGAUGAAAUAGAACUUACAGAAAUAAAAUAUAUAGCUGGAUAUGGUGACUCAUACCUGUAAUCCCAGCACUCUUUGUGAGGCUGAGGUGGGAGGACAGUAUUAGCCCAGGAGUUGGAGAUGAGCCUGGGAAACAUGGUGAGAACCCAUUUCUACAAAAAAAUACCCCACCACCACCAAAAAAAAAAAAAAAAAAAAAAAAAAAA